AUCGUGGCUACAGAGAGAAACAAUUCUGUUAGGGUUGGGGUUUUUUUUUUGUGAUUUUUGGUUUUUUUUCCUAAGUCGCACGAGACUGAGAAGAUAUGCUCCAUGUCAGCGAGGUACACGAAAGGAAGUGUCCAGAGAAGAGAUGAUCUUCCUUGUUUCUAGAUCUGAGGUCUGGUACACAGGAAAAAACUCAACCAAAUCAUGAAAGGAGACAAAGUUGCAAUAACUGCUGAUAAGUCAUUUCCUUCACCUACCUGCCACAUAGAGUGAACUGACACCUCUGGCUGCAUCUCCUGGGGAACUUCGUGAAAGACACAAUUUAGUUAAUUGCUGUGAACAAUUUUGGACUUCUUGCCUGGAUGGCCUGAAGGGAUCCCACCCUCCACCACUUUUUAUCCCUGACUGACCACAAAUAAGAAAUACAGGGUAGUGCUGGAGGAGUCUCAGCAACUUUUCUCCAUAGCUUAUGACAUUCAGUCCCAUUCCAGGAACCACAAGUGCCUCCACGCUACUGCCUACAGAGCUGUCAGCCUCCCACUGCAAAGGAAGUAGUGAACCACCCUGGCUCUUUCACUUCCUUUUCAGAGGAGUAGACACCAGCUUCUCAGCAUCUUCCCUGCUGGUAACCCAGAGGGAGAAGUCACUGGAGCACCAGCCACCACAUCCUGCAGCCAGCUGCUCUGCUCUGCCUGUGCCAGAACCUGCUCCCCUCUCAGAGCUGCCACUUUUACUUUCUCUCUGUGCCUGGACACCAUCCAGCUCUGCACCUGCCACCAGGUUCCAGAGUUCUUGCCUCUAGGAGAGACAGGAAAAGCAGGAUCCUGAUGCUAGGACCUGGAGAAUGACUCCUGGACAUGGAUCAUCCAAAUCCCUUUCUGCAGCCUAUCACAAACAAUGAUCAGUUCCUUCUCAUUCACAAACAAACAUUGACCUGUAUUAUUAUUGAGCCUGUAUUACUCCAACUGAUGAGCUAUGCUGACUUUGGGACUCAGGAAAGGAGCAAGAGGGACUGAACACUAGCACUUUAGCUUCAUUUCCAGAAACCAGGAGAUGGGAUUGAGAUAAUGAUGCUGGAAUCCAGAACCUCUCGUCUUUGUGGCAGCUUCCAGCUCCUUGGCCCACUCAUCCCACAUUGCAACCACCUCAGACUUGACAGUUUUCACAACACAGUAGGCCAAGUCCUCCCCACAUCUCCGGGUUCCUCUAAAUAGUUGAAGUUCAAAUGCUUAAUUUAGAUUCUUCAAACACUUCCUUUGUGUAAAGCAAACCUCUUGGAUGACUCCUGAGGAAACAGACAAACAAGCAAUGAGCUAUACAGGAUCUCAGUGCACUGAACAUCACUUUUGAA